GCACUCGAGUUCCUUUUGCACGCAAGGUC
rnacentral:sRNA from 1 species